UGCAAAAAAAAUUAAAAUACACCCGAUGAACUUACGUUAGAAAUUUGUUUCUGUUUUCAACGCUAUUCAAUCCACAAAUACAAUUCAAUACAAUCCAUAUGAAAUCACAUUAAAACAUAGCUCGAUUACACAUACACUUAUGCGCGCG